CCUGGUGGCGAGUGGCGAACGGGUGAGUAAUAUAUCGGAACGUGCCCAGUCGUGGGGGAUAACGUAGCGAAAGUUACGCUAAUACCGCAUACGAUCUACGGAUGAAAGCGGGGGACCGCAAGGCCUCGCACUAUUGGAGUGGCCGAUGUCGGAUUAGCUAGUUGGUGGGGUAAAGGCUCACCAAGCCGACGAUCUAUAGCUGGUCUGAGAGGACGACCAGCCACACUGGAACUGAGACACGGUCCAGACUCC
rnacentral:rRNA from 1 species